rnacentral:other from 1 species
CAAGGAAGCAUGAGACAGAACAUCAGGAUGAUGGCUGAAUCAUUAAAGAAGGGGACGGCUCAGGAAGAGUCAGGACGGCAUCGGAUUAUGCCAGGAUGUUUCAGGACGAAACCAGGGACACCUCCAGGACGGAGAAGAGAGCUCACAAAGGAAGCUGAGCGGGUCACAGAUGACCAAGGGAUAUCAGUCAGGAUGACUUAGGACAGACCGUCAGGAUGAAAGUUGGACGAUGCGAAGGACAGCCGGUUAGGAUAACCGCAGGAAAAGUUUUCAGGGAUUGAGCAGGGAGCACUUAGGUAGCUGGAUUGCUAUAAAACGAACCGGGGGCACUGUGUAAACAGUGCCCCCAACUUUUUGU